rnacentral:rRNA from 1 species
AGGAUGAACGCUGGCGGCGUGCCUAACACAUGCAAGUCGAACGUCCUGUCUCGCAAGAGGCAGGGAGUGGCGGACGGGUGAGUACCACGUGGGUCAUCUACCGUGAGGUGAGGAAUACCGGCGAGAAAUCGCCGACAAGACCGCAUAGGCUCGAUGCAAGUCGAGCAAAGCUCUUUCGAGAGAGGGAGCGCCACACGAGGAGCCUGCGCCCGAUUAGCUAGCUGGUGGAGUAACGGUUCACCAGGGCGACGAUCGGUAGCUGGUCUGAGAGGACGAUCAGCCACACUGGGAUUGAGAACGGCCCAGACUCCUACGGGGGCAGCAGUGAGGAAUUUUCGUCAAUGGGGGCAACCCUGAACGAGCAACGCCGCGUGCAGGAAGAAGGUUUCGGAUCGUAAACUGCUUUUCUCGGGAAGAGAAUGGACGGUACCCGAGGAAUCAGCCCGGCUAACUACGCGCCAGCAGCCGCGGU